CCACGCCGUAAACGAUGAGAACUAAGUGUUGGGGAAACUCAGUGCUGCAGUUAACGCAAUAAGUUCUCCGCCUGGGGAGUAUGCACGCAAGUGUGAAACUCAAAGGAAUUGACGGGGGCCCGCACAAGCGGUGGAGUAUGUGGUUUAAUUCGAAGCAACGCGAAGAACCUUACCAGGCCUUGACAUCCCGAGCGAAGGCAUAGAGAUAUGUUGGAGGUUACCUCGGAGACAGGUGGUGCAUGGUUGU
rnacentral:rRNA from 1 species